UGGCACUAGCAUCUACAGUGAUUACAACGUGCAGAAUGAAAUCAUCUGAGUGUGUAGACGAUGUAUCUGAAUUGAGACACGCAGAGUUUGGGCUUGGAAUUUGACACGUCCCACACCAGUGCAAACCCUAUCGGGUUAUCUGGGUGUGCCUGCAGACUUCAUAGCCCUGGUCUCACGCUUCUCAGUCCUUUGCCUUGGUGUUCCUGCCCUCUAGUGGCAAUAAACUUUACUGCAGUCACAUUCACCAGCAGACAACAAAUCAAACGGAAGUUAGAUUCGAGAAGAUAGCACUUUUCAGGAAGGAUAAAGGCAACCCCUAUCUUUCUCUUUAAAAGCAGACCUCGUUAUCAUGGGAAUGAUGUUUAAUCUCACACACAAAAACGCGACUAUCUAGUCUUUAGCCCGAAACAGAUCUUAACUUAGGCAUCCAAGUUCCUGGGUUGGAAAAUAGAUUAUAUAACUGACCUAGAGAGUCGUGGGAAUAAGGGGGCUCAGGGAAUCUAUAGGGCAGGAACAGAAAGACUUAAAGUGGCAAAAGAGAAGGACAUUGGCAGAUGGUGCCCCCUGCCAACACUGGCAAGAAUUAAUUCAAAGUCCUGCCUUCCUCUUUUCCCAGCUUUGAAGGGUCAGUCCCCUAGUCCCCAACCCCACCUCCCUUUGCUCAGUUUACUCCUGCUCCUUCUGCCCGUCUCAGCUCAAGGCUCCCUCCAACUCUGAAAAUGAGAUGGGCCCUCGUCUUAUGCUUUCAUGGUAUGGGGAACUUUCCCAGCAUAAGACUUUUUCACAGUCCGUAGUUUUAUGUACGGACUGUGAAAUAAUCUCUGGUUAUUUUCAUGUCUACAGUAAAUUAUAUAAACUCCGUGAGGUUAGGCACUGAGUCUCCCUUAAUGACCAUUGAAUCUGUGCCCCCAAAACAGUGAUUAGUACAUAGGAGGCCCUCAAUUAAUGCUGUUCAACGAAAUUAAUAAAAUUGUAAGUGUUGGUUGAAUGUGUGACAUUUGUUUGCAGACUGAACAAACAGAUCUUGUCUCAAUGGAGAAAACAGGCCAAGUGUACCUAAGGUCUGUCCACAAGGCUACGCAGAGCCAACUGUGAGUGCUUUCCUUGUACAAGCCGAGGGUGGACACUUUCCUUGGACAUCACACCAAAUGCUCACCAUCACCCUGGGGUGAGUAGUUGAGCAAGGGUCUUUACCGUAAUUACACUUUUUGAUCAUGAGCAUCCAUAGGCUCAGCUUUUGCCCCCGCAAAGGUAACAGAAUCUGCCUGAAAACAGAGGACCAAAGGACAGGCAGAUUGAAAGGCUUUGAGGACAUCAGGAGACCUGACCUUCAGAGCUGCCUCUCUGUGUGACCUUGGAUGCUACUUUCCUGCACUGGGUCUCCAUGCUUUCAUUUGUAAAAGAAGGAACUUGAGGUAUGUAACAUCAAAGUCGUGGUUUUCUGCUGUCGGAAACCCCAACUGAAGCUGGCUUAAAGUAAAAAAAAAAAAAAAAAAAAAAAGGAAUAUAUUGCUCACGAAACUGCAAAGCCAUGGAUUCAGGGUUGACUCGAUCUAAGAUAUCAAGCAACGUCAUCCAAUCCUGGUUUCUCUUCUCCAUCCAUCAGCUCUGCUUCCCUUUGUGUUCACUCCACUUGUAGGCAAGUUCCUUCUCUGUGAGGGUCUCUGGCAGCUCAAGACUUUCCUCCCCUCAGCAGAAAAGUAAAGGGGCUCUCUCUCAGACCCAGAACUGCAGCUCAGCCAUGCCUUUUGGACCACAUGAGCCAAUCACAGUGGUUAGGGGAAAUUCUUGGCUCCACGUGAAUCACAGGAACACCACCCAGAGGACAAGCUCCAUGACAGUAAUGAGGAAGCACUCUCAAAAUGCUGGGGAAGAGGUACUACACACACUGAAACAAAAAUGGCACCACAGAGUCAGUGAGCUUUAAGGUCUCUUCUAGCUUUUUUAUCUUGCCGUGACUGUGAGAUUUGAUACCAGGGAAGUAGAAGGGAGAAUAAAGCCAUAAACACUCUCUAGGGUUAGUCCAACCCCAAAUCUUUUGAAAAGCCUAAAUGUGGAAUAACACUCAUCAUCCAUUCUGAAGGGGGAAACGGGGUGACAGCAGCAGCCCUAGAAAGCAAGUGAUGACUUUGACCCUCCAGAAGCCACGGGGCAUGAAAAUGAAUGACAUUUUGAUAAUGCCACCAAAAUGGAACAUUUCUAUUUCCCAAAAAGAUGAACAGUCAGUGAGAUUCAUAAAAAAGAAGAAAAAGAAAACGAAAAGAAAACAUUAUUAAACUUUCCCUUUCACUGCUUCUUUGUAUCUCUGGUUGAAAUGGAGCAGGAUGCAGGUUGCCAUGGUGACGGCUGAAUUUUUAAAUAACAGGGCUCAGGCGCACUGGCUGCUGGCUGUACCGCCCCAGGCAGGAAACAGUUGUGGGGAGAGAGGCAGAGGCUGAGUGAGAAAGGGAAGAAAGCUGCUGGGCUCAUCCCAGGACACUGUCACUUCUCCAACUUGUUUUCCUUGCACUGAGGGGAAAAGGUCCAAGAAUGAUGGACUCUCCAGGUUCUUCAUAGAAUGAGGGAAGGUGGGAGCCCAGAUGCAUAAGAACAGAAACUGAGAAGUUACCUUGUCCCGCCCCUACCUGAUUCUCUCUUAUGACAAAUGGAUUUCCCCUACACUUACACCCCUUCCCACGAACAACGGGCCCAGCCCACCCAAGUGUUAGAUGGGACACUGGAAACCUUUCCCUAAGAACAAUGUCCAAAGAGCUAGAGACACAAAGGGCAAGAGCCCAAAGGAUUUUUAAGUGAAAGAGGAAUUUGCGGUCCAAAGACCAGAACCUGUCAAUUCACAUAGCCCUAGCCGCAUAUUCCAGUUCUGCUCCUCUCUCUAGAACCAUCCAAGACUGAAAUGGAGAGAUUCAGGAAGUGGUGAGUUCUCCAUGACUGACAUAUUCAAGCCAACAUCAGCCAGCGAGGAGCUGCCUGACAGGGGGCUGUUCAAAUCGUUUCAGGCUUCAGAGAGUCACGGUCCUGCUGGGGCAGCUCAGAGAAUCCAUGCGGUAGAAGACCAAGUCUUUCACCCUGCACCCUUCUACAUCCCCAGGCCAGGAAAGAGGGAGACCAGAGGUGGAAACUGGAGGAACCAGCAGCCUGGGAGCCCAGAACUCUGCUGUGAUGCCUACACGCUUGUGGGGACUGGCUCUCACAGGAGGUGAUCUCUUCUCCACUGCCUUCACUGCCAUCCAAGCAGACCCCAGAAAGGACUUGUGUUCUCAGCCUGCCCUGUCCCUUAGCUCCUGGCCAAGGUGGCAGGCAGCCAAAGCCACUCUCUUUUUGUCAGGGGAAAGUUUCUAGACGUUAAAUAAUAAUAGUAAUAAUAAUAAUAAACACAAAGAUUUUUCCUCGUAUCUGGAAAAGUGGCAGGAUUACUGAAGCUGAACACAUCUGACAUUUCCCCAGAAAUCAGGUGAGCAGAGGCCCCAGGAGAGAAGGGAAGAGCCAAAGAGACAGGGUCUCUGGGUCUGUGACCUGCACCCCUGGGACCUGUCCUGUGCUCCAGGCCUGACAGUCGGCAGCUUGGGACCUGGGAUUCCCCAUCACUAUUCCCAGGAAGGUCAGGACCGCCGGGGAAAUGACAGCAUCUUAAGAAGGAGAUAAAAGCCAGGGAAAGAGAAGAGACAGUGGCCCAGUGUUCACACCACCCCGCCACCCACCUAUGCCUUCUCACACAGAGUCAGGAACUCCAAGGUUCUGAGAAAAGGAUCUGAGAAAGCAGGGAAACAGCACUGGCCUGGGCCUGCCACACAUGCCCCACACACACAUACACACACAUAUACCCCACACAGCCCACACACACACCCCUACAUACCCCACACACACCCCCACACACACACCCCACACACACCCAUACACACACCCCACACACACAUACACCACAUACACAUAAACCACACACACACUCCCCUCACACACACCCAUGCACAUAUACACAGACACCCC
rnacentral:lncRNA from 1 species